UCUUUCUUCUUUUUUCUUUUUCUUUUUCUUUUUCUCUUUCCUUUCUUUCUUUCUUUCUAUAUCUCACAAACACAAAUUCACAGAUACACGUUUCAAAGAGUGAAACAGAGAGAGAGAGAGAGAGAGAGAGAGAGAGAGAGAGAGAGAUCGAGAGAUCGAUCUUUUAUUAUAUUUUGAUCUAUCUCUCUCAACACGACAAAUAACACAACCGGAUAAAAUCUCGUUGAAGAGAAUACGAUUAGCGCGUUUCUCGCGAGAUACUGUCGAGGCAAGGAGCUUUUGGAACGCACCACGACCUCCUCCGCUAUAAAUAAAACGUGUCGGCGGCCACAACGAGAAUUUUGCCAGCAGCAGCAGCAGCAGCAGCAGCAGCAGCAACAGCAGCAGCAGUAGCAACAGUAGCAGCAGCAGCAGCAGUAGCAGCAGUAGUAGCUUCGUAUUCGUAAGAUUAUGAAGGAUAGCGGGAGGAGAUGGACGAAAGGGGGAGAAGGAGGAGUGAGAGAGAAAGAAAAAGCAACCUAUUACUGCUACUACUACUACUACUACUACUACUACUACUACUACUACUACUACUGUCUGAUACUAUCAUGGUAUUACUAUUUCGCAAUAAUAACAGGUACCGCUCGCCACACCUCGAAAGAUUACCGGUUUUGGAUCUCUCUCACUAUAACCAGAUUUAAGAAAGAUCGAAGAAAAACAUUAUGUUAAAGAAAGGAUAAAGAAGAGGGGGAAGGACCAAGAAAUAGUGGUCACUCGUCCCACGAGAUCGAGCUUGAUCCUUUGAGAGUAAGUCCGAGUUUGCAGCAAGGAUACAUCUCGGAAUGUUCGGCGAUAAUGAUCUACGUUCGAGAGAAGAGGGUAUUUCGAAGAGAGGACGUAGGCGAGACGAAGGGUCCAUAGAAAGAGAGAGAGAGAGAGAGAGAGAGAAAGAUAGAGAGAGUAAAGAACCGAGAUGGAAGUUGGUAAUCCGAGAAGCCCGAGGUGAAGCGAGCUGAGGGCAUGCUAGUACCAAAUGAGAUUGGGAAGCGGCCUGUGUCCAGGACUACUUUGGAGUGUCCUUCUUGCCUCUGGCUUCUCUCUUUUGCGUUUGUUACCAACCAACCAACCAACCAACCCCAGCAGCAAUCUGGUCUCUGAAUUUGUCUCUAAGAUAUCAACAGAGAGAAACGCGAAAUCUUAAAAACCAAAAGGAUUCUAAUAUAUAUUAGCAAUGAGAUUAUUGAAAAUAUCCUAGACAAACUGGAUGAUUUGAAGAUUUAUCUGGAAGAUCGAAUUCCAACGAAUCGACUUUCGACUUCCUUUCUACGUAGCGUGCGUCGUGAGAGCGCAUUAAUUGAAGGAUGCCCGACGCACAUCUGCGUUCUACCUCGUGCGUGAUACCGAAGUAAGCGCCAAAAGCAUAUAUAGAAGAUACGAAACGAAACGAAACGAAACGAAAAGAAAAGGAAAGAAGUGGAAAAGGAAGGACGAAAGGAAGAAAGGACGGAAGGAAAGAAGGAAGGAAAGAAGGAAGGAAGGACGGAAGGAAGGAAGGAAGGAAGGAAGGAAGGAACGAUUGUGAAGUCGAUGCAAGUCGACUCGACGACGUUCGCAGCUGCAGGUACCGAAAAGCCAGUGCAACGGUUUCAAUUGUCUGCAACAUGGCUGCCGCUGCUCGACUAGGUCUCAUAGUCGUUAUCCUUGAAAGACCCGUGUGCUGCACCUCUUUCGUUUUGUUUUAACGCACGAGGGAGAGUGCGCACGCGCGUGCAUGCCAGAGAGUUAGAAUGAGAAAGGAAAUAAAAUGCGGCUUGCGUUUUAGAAUGAGAGGAAGAAAGAGAGAGAGAGAGAGAGAGAGAGAGAGAGAGAGAGAGAGAGACAGAGAGAAAGAGAGAGGGGGGAGGGGAAUGAAGAGCCGAAUGUUGCAAAACCAACCCGUAUCCAUGACUUAUACCAAUUCAGGAGUCUUCCAUAAGAAAUAAUAAUUGUCAAAAUUUUUUAUUUCUUUACUUCUUUUUAUUUUACUCUUUGUCUCUCUCUCUCUCUCUCUCUCUCUUCUUCUUCUUCUUUCUUUUUCUUUUUGUUUUUUAUCUUCAUCCCUGCUCAUUCCAUCCUCCAAUCGAUAUUUUUAUCAUGUAAUAUUUAAAAUGGAUCGAUAGACAUCCACUGUUUGAUCAUAGCGAGGAAAUUUUUUAAUUGGAGCACAGACGAUUUUUAUGGUAAUUAUGAUUGAUAGACAUAAUAUAUUUAUCUCUCUCUCUCUCUCUCUCUCUCU